UGGAGGAAAGUAGGGGAUCGUAAGACCUUGCGCUUUUGGAGCGGCCGAUGUCUGAUUAGCUAGUUGGUGGGGUAAUGGCCUACCAAAGCUUCGAUCAGUAGCUGGUCUGAGAGGACGGCCAGCCACACUGGGACUGAGACACGGCCCAGACUCCUACGGGAGGCAGCAGUGGGGAAUUUUGGACAAUGGGCGAAAGCCUGAUCCAGCCAUGCCGCGUGAGUGAAGAAGGCCUUCGGGUUGUAAAGCUCUUUCAGCCGGGAGGAAAAGGCUGCGACUAAUAAUCGCAGUUCAUGACGGUACCGGAAGAAGAAGCACCGGCUAACUACGUGCCAGCAGCCGCGGUAAUACGUAGGGUGCGAGCGUUAAUCGGAAUUACUGGGCGUAAAGGGUGCGCAGGCGGUUUUGUAAGUCAGAUGUGA
rnacentral:rRNA from 1 species